AAGCCUCUAAGCAUCAGGUAAUAUCAAAUCGUACCCCAAACCGACACAGGUGGUCAGGUAGAGAAUACCAAGGCGCUUGAGAGAACUCGGGUGAAGGAACUAGGCAAAAUGGUGCCGUAACUUCGGGAGAAGGCACGCUGAUAUGUAGGUGAAGUCCCUCGCGGAUGGAGCUGAAAUCAGUCGAAGAUACCAGCUGGCUGCAACUGUUUAUUAAAAACACAGCACUGUGCAAACACGAAAGUGGACGUAUACGGUGUGACGCCUGCCCGGUGCCGGAAGGUUAAUUGAUGGGGUCAGCGCAAGCGAAGCUCUUGAUCGAAGCC
rnacentral:rRNA from 1 species